GCUGGGUGUGGUGAUGCACACCUGUAGUCUCAGCUACUUGGGAGGCUGAAGUAGGAGGAUCACUUGAGCCCAGGAGGUGGAGGUUGCAGUGAGCCAAGAUCAGGCCACUGCACUCCCGCCUGGGCAACAGAGUGAGACUCCGUCUCAA
rnacentral:SRP_RNA from 2 species